rnacentral:rRNA from 1 species
ACUCAAAUGAAUUGACGGGGGCUCACACAAGCGGUGGAGCAUGUGGCUUAAUUCGAGGCUACGCGCAGAACCUUAUCCCAGGCUUGACAUGCACGGAUUAGCCGGCGGAAACGUCGGUGACGCGCAAGUGGAACGUGCACAGGUGCUGCAUGGCUGUCGUCAGCUCGUGCCGUGAGGUGUUGGGUUAAGUCCCGUAACGAGCGAAACCCCUGUGGUUAGUUGCCAGCGAGUCAAGUCGGGCACUCUAACCAGACCGCCGGCGUCAAGCCGGAGGAAGGCGGGGACGACGUCAAGUCAUCAUGGCCCUUAUGCCUGGGGCUGCACACGUGCUACAAUGGGCCGGACAGAGCGCCGCGAACCCGCGAGGGGGAGCCAAUCGCCGAAACCGGUCCUCAGUUCGGAUUGCGGGCUGCAACCCGCCCGCAUGAAGCUGGAAUCGCUAGUAAUCGCGGAUCAGCAUUGCCGCGGUGAAUGUGUUCCUGAGCCUUGCACACACCGCCCGU